UGUGGGAGCGAGCCUGCUCGCGAUAGCGGUGUGUCAGUCAACAGCGAUGUUGCUGAUCGAUCGCCAUCGCGAGCAGGCUCGCUCCCACA
rnacentral:misc_RNA from 1 species